ACCCCUUGCCUGAGAGGCAAAUAUUAUUUAGCUAUUUGCUUCCUUUGUUGGCUGUUCACUUCUGCAGGAAUGUAAACUACAUGAGAGCAGAAACCUUGCUUGUCUCCAUCACAGUGCCUGGAACAGUGCCUGGGAAGUGGUGGUGGGUGCAGCACAAUCAAUAUUUGUGGAAUGAAUUGUUAUCGUUCAGCCCAGCAUGGUCAGUGGUUGUCAAAGGCGACAAUGCAUCGGUAUUGUCUGAAGAACUUUUCAAAUACCUGCUCCUUUCUAGGAUCCAGACACAGGAUAAGAAAUAUGCAGUCAUUGAAGAAAAGUCAGAAAAUAUAUAA
ensembl:lincRNA